rnacentral:rRNA from 1 species
UCCUGGGGCUGGAGAAGGUCCCAAGGGUUGGGCUGUUCGCCCAUUAAAGUGGCACGCGAGCUGGGUUCAGAACGUCGCGAGACAGUUCGGUCUCUAUCUGCUGUGGGCGUUGGAAAUUUGAGAGGAGCUGACUUUAGUACGAGAGGACCGAGUUGGACAGCCCUCUAGUGUACCUGUUGUUUCGCCAGAAGCAUUGCAGGGUAGCUACGGCUGGUUGGGAUAAGCACUGAAAGCAUAUAAGUGCGAAGCCCACCUCAAGAUGAGAUUUCCCUUAAGGGUCGUUCGAGAUGAGGACGUUGAUAGGCUUCAGGUGUAAAGGCAGUAAUGUCAUAGCCGAGAAGUACUAAUUACCCGUGGCUUUCUAA